UAUGCCUGUCAUAACCCUCAGUGUCAGAGGGGAAAGCGAGGAUUGCAGCCAGAAGGGAAAGUCACUAAGGGAAGUGGGGAAGAGAUUCUGGAAUUCACUCUCUGGACUCUGGGCAGAGGAAGGAUCAGGGCUCACUUUUUCCCUCUGGCUCCAAGGGUUGCAGCCUCAGAGGAAGCAUUAGAAAGGCCAAGAAGCUGGAGCAGUGGCUGAGCCAGGCUAGCUAAUUCCCCAUGAGGGGACCGCGACUUGUAUCUAUCCCAGUUCCAUCUCAGUGUUGAGAUUAUCCGGGGGUGGUAGGCAGUCAGUGCUGGGAGGUGUCUCAGUCAUCCUGUGACCAGCGACUUAUGGAGGGGUCGUUGUUCUAAUGCUGAGUUACUGUCUUUUCUGCUGUCCCGGUGUUUCACUUCAAAAGGGGUAGAGCAGAGUAAGAAGUCCGAGGUCUUGGGACUUAGAGCAGGUCUCUGAUCCAGGUGACGGGGUACAGACAUGGAUUCCGUUCUAAGGACACGUGUGUCCAGUGACGUCAGUGGAUUUCAGGGUCAGUACUUGAGGUCAUAUGACUUGGUUUUGACCGUCCUCAGUUGUGACUUUGGACAACACAGGAAAAGUCUCUAUCUUUGUUUUUCCUGCCUCAGACUCGGGAGUGUAAUGUUGCCUACUUUUUAGGUUGUGAGAAGUAAAUGAGCUACUUCCUGCCAAAGACUGUGAAGAGGUGAAACACCCUGCUCACAAGCUCUGCUGCCUUGGAGCCGUCUGCUUCCGAGGGAAGAAAGAUGUUUCAAGUCUCCUUGAAGAAAUGUCCUCAGGGAGUCAAAUCAAGGACCCUUCAAGAGUUGGGUGCAAUCAGGUCAACAGGUCUCCUUGCUCCCUCAUGUUCUACCACAAGAAGAGGGCUAGAAAGCUAGGCAUUUUAAGGAGUUCCACUCUUGUUUUGGAAAUAUCAGCCUUAAAUUCUGAAAGGCAGGGCUGGAUUGUCCACGGGGCAUCCGCAGUGCUGGAACUCUUGCUCAGUCUCCCUAAGCACAGAGGGAGGUCUGACAGGUAUACCCAUGAUGGCCAUAACUCCUAGCAAAUGUGUGAUCACUGAAUCAGCCUUUUCCAAACCUGAAGCAGUUGCCCAUUGAAAACCCGAGUAGGUAUCAAUGGUGUAGUGCACAGAUUUUAGUUUUCCAAAUUCUACAAAGUGGAACACAUUCAUCUGCCACAUUUCAUUCUCUUGGCUACACUUCUUCUCAGUCUUCCCCUUUGUGGUUGAGGACACAAAAGGAAAAAUGCCACAGAGCACCAGCUUCUGAAGCACCCACCCUGAGGCAGAGGCAUUCAGCACCCAGGAAGAACUGACAAUGGUCACUGCCGCAGCUGGGAGGAAAGCAUGCGCAGUGAGCUCCGACUGCCAGGAUCAAAGUGAAUCGGUGCACAAGGACCUAACGACACAACGGCAACCCAAGCAGCCCAUCAUACGAUGUCACUGCUGCAGACGUGACGCGUUCCUGCUCCCCAACACCUUCUCAUCAGGGAACUAACCUCAGGAUGUGCUCUGCAUUUUCCUAAGGCUUUCCCAUAGAUGAUAUUAGGACUGGAUGAAGAAAACAGUUCUUUGAAAACUGUAUAUAACAAGCCACCUGAAAAAGCAGAGAGAAAGAUGAAGCACAGCCAUGGGGUGAGAGGCUGGGGAAAGGUAUCCAGGCACUUGCUGGGCUUUGCGACCUGUAAUGCUGACGCCGAAGAACACCACUAUCAAGUAGCUGAAGUCUCUUCCGGCUUCUUUCACUGCAAAGAAAAAUGUUGAAAGGUUACAGUGGCAUAAAACCCUAUCAGUCUCCAGAGUGAGAACGGCCACAGAUGCAGCAACAUGGACAGAGGUCUGCCCUGUCCGGAUCAAGGUUCAAUCAACCCGAAGACAAGGGAACAGAGGGAUCCAAAUGGAAGCAACUCUUAAUGGUACCACCUCACAGGUCCCCACCGACUGGUGCAUGAAGUUAGUGAACGGAAAUUGGAAUUGGAAGGUAGUUGGCCAGGAUGGUCUAUGAAUCAAAUAAACCUACAGAGACUGUU